rnacentral:tRNA from 1 species
GGAGGUAUAGCUCAGGGAUAGACUGCAUGCUUGGCAUGCACAAAGUCCUGAGUUCAACCCUCAGUGCCUCCC